rnacentral:rRNA from 1 species
GAUGAACGCUGGCGGCGUGCCUAAUACAUGCAAGUCGAGCGAACGGACGAGAAGCUUGCUUCUCUGAUGUUAGCGGCGGACGGGUGAGUAACACGUGGAUAACCUACCUAUAAGACUGGGAUAACUUCGGGAAACCGGAGCUAAUACCGGAUGAUAUUUUGAGCCGCAUGGUUCAAAAGUGAAAGACGGUCUUGCUGUCACUUAUAGAUGGAUCCGCGCUGCAUUAGCUAGUUGGUAAGGUAACGGCUUACCAAGGCAACGAUGCAUAGCCGACCUGAGAGGGUGAUCGGCCACACUGGAACUGAGACACGGUCCAGACUCCUACGGGAGGCAGCAGUAGGGAAUCUUCCGCAAUGGGCGAAAGCCUGACGUAGCAACGCCGCGUGAGUGAUGAAGGUCUUCGGAUCGUAAAACUCUGUUAUUAGGGAAGAACAUAUGUGUAAGUAACUGUGCACAUCUUGACGGUACCUAAUCAGAAAGCCACGGCUAACUACGUG